AACUGCGUUUCAGCUUCCUGAUGGAGAGUGUUUACACCGCCGUUGCUGGGGGGUGGGGUUUAAAGAUGGAGUGGGCGUGUGUGUGUGUGUGUGUGUGUGUGUGUGUGUGUGUGUGUGUGCGCGCGCGCGCUUCCAGUGAUACUCUGCGUAUUGAACGGCAAUGCAGGGUACCAGAUAAUUCUGGCUAUCUGAAGGGCAAGCCGUGGGAGCUUGGCGAGCAAAGUCCUACUUCACAGGAAAUUCACGCCUGGCAUUCCAGGACAGCACAGGGACCUGGCCCAGGGACUCUGCAGACCCUGUUCUGUGGUACUCUUAUUAAGGAGGGAGUGUCAAGUCAAGCUGGAGACAACCAGGCAGCACUUACGGCCUCAGAGACAGACACAGAUGCCCUUUCUUGGGAUCAGACUGGGUCUGGAGGGCAGGCCUGUCAACAGCUGGACAACUUAUUCACUUCUGCCAGGCCACAGCAUGGCGGUGGCUAUACAAGAGGACAUGCCAGGGACUAAAGGGGCUACAAUAUUCACGAGCUCCUCUCUGAAGACCUGCACUAGCCCAUCUCCCUUCCCCAGUGGCUCUGUCUCGGUCAUCAUCUCCCUCAACAAGACUCUCAGCACAAGGAUAUGAAGACAGACAGGUACCUGGGAAGGUGGGAGAGGGAAGAAGAGAAGAAGGAAGACUAUGUAGGUGACAUACACAUAUUCAGGUGACACGGAACUAAUUAUGUUGUAACUAAAAAGAAAAUUCAAAGCAAAUCAAGGAUAUAUCUGAUAUCCUUAAAACACAUAUCCAGAAGGGCUGGGGACUUUGAUACCAAAGUCAGACUCACAUCUGUAAUCAUAUUACCCGGUAGACUGAGACAGGGAAACUGAAUUCAAACCCAGCCUGAGCUAUAUAGAGUGUGAUUCUGUCUUGGGGAAAAAGAAAGCAAAAUAACAUAAAAUUUAAUAUACAUGAAAAGAAAGCUGGCUGAAGAAACAAGCUCAAAGCCCUGGAUCCUGUCCUGAUGUCCAAGAAAAUAAAGUCUCAAAGACCUGGAGAAACGACCAAAGGUUAAGAGCACUGGCCGCUCUCGAAGACUAAAGGCUCAUUUCCCACAAUCUACUCUAUGGGUAACAAGUGUCUAUAAUUCCAGUUCCAAAGGAUCUGAUGCCCUCUUCUGGCCUCCAUAGGCCCUAGGAACACCUAUGGUGUACACAAAUAUAUGCAAGCAAAAUAUUCAUACGCAUACAACUAAAAGAACAUUUACUAAAGAUGUAGCAAGACAGCACCGGGCACAGCUGGAUAUGGGGAUUCAUCGCUUUUGACUUCGAGCAGUUGGCUUGGGUGGGUCUCCUCUCUAAGUCAGCCCCUGCUGGCUUCACCUUGAUGCCCCCUUAUUUUUAAACCCCUGUUCAUCUAGACAGGACUAAUGUGUGGCCAGGCCUUGGGCUCAACACUUUGGCUUCUUUCUGCAGAAAUCUUUCAGGAUCACCAAGAACUGCUAAGUCCAUGUGAACCCAAAGAAACUGAAAGUCUUCCCACACAAUUCCUGGCAGUGUGUCUGAGAUAAGUAGAACCUUGUGACAGUGAAACAGUGCAAAAUAGAACUCUGUGUGUGUGUGUGUGUGUGGUGUGUGUGUGUGUGUGUGUGUGUGUGUGUGUGUGAGUGUGUGUGUGUGUGUGUAUGAGAGUGUGUGUGUGUGUGUGUGUGUGUGUACAUGAGUGUGGUGGUUUGAAGAGCUUUGACCCUCAUAGACUCAUGCGUUUAAAUGGUU
rnacentral:lncRNA from 1 species